UGGGUGGCGGUAGUCUCCUUCCUGUUGGCUGGGUCUUCUUCUCCGGCGAGGGGGUCUGGCGGCUAAGGUUAGGGUUAGGUGUGGAUGGGGGUUACUUAUAUUCGUCCGCUUUUGAUCUGGACUGUUAAUCAUAUUUGAUCUGAACUGUCCGAUCGCGAUUAAAUAGGGAGUGAAUAUGGACCGUUCAUCACGAUUCAAUCUGAACCAUUCAUAGCGAUCUAAUU
rnacentral:lncRNA from 1 species